UUAAAGGAAAAAUAGAUUUUAUUAAUGGAAAUUAACACAUUGGGUUACAUUGAAAAAUCAGCUGCAAAUUCCGAUUGAUGUGGCCCAACCGAAUCUUUGUGAAACUACUUUUAGCUGCACAGAUGUCUUCUAUCCAUGCCGCCACCUCAUUCCUAUUCUAUCCCUUCCCCUGGACCAAAGCAAUUGCCUCUAAGCAAUUAGACAAAAUCACAAGCUUCUGAAAACCCUUUUGCUCUGCCAUUCUCAUCGCCUCUCUAAUUGCUCCCACCUCUGCCACCAAUGGCUCCAGACCCACCUCUAACCGUUUGGCCAUUGCAACUUGAAGUUCGUUAUCGCCAUUCCACACAGCAACACCCACCCCCAACACCGGCGAAGAAGCUGCACACGCCGCAUCCACCAAAACCCGAAGCCAAUAUCUGGGUAAAUUAGUAAGACUAACUUUCGCUGGACCAAUUUCCUUUAAGGGUCGAGCAUCACUCCGCCUCUUGGUUCUCUGAAACGCCUCAAGAUCGCCAAAACAUCACCGCCACCACUUCUAACUCACCUGAUGUCAAAAUGUCGCCCAAACGCUUCCAUAAAGAAAUCAAGGAUUUAGCCAAAACGCCAGCCCAUAUCACCGUGGGGACACACACUUCCCAGAUUUCGCGUGCACGCUUGCAUAACAAUAAGGUAAAAAAAACCUGCUUUGUGAUGGACGAGGAAUCUCUCUCAGCGGAGGAAAAAUAUCAACUCAAUAGAAGCAUCAAGAAGGCUAGGAAGGUGAAAAGAGACCUCGUGUAAGGAGAAGAUUGUCAAGGAGAUUCAUCAAGAGAGACUCUUAGCGGCGGCCAUGAAGGUGGGAAAAGGAAAUUUUCUUUAUCGUGAGAUGGUUAUUGGGGGUUCGAGUGUGAGACAGGAGAAAGUUGACGAAAUCAUGGUAGAGGAAUAGAUUAGUCAUGACGAAGAGGGUUCGAACAGUUCAGAUGAUGUUCAAUUUUCGAAAGAGCAGUGGAGGAAAUUUAAAGCUCCUUGGAGAUCGGACACGACCCAUUCUAGAACACCCACUAGUCUUAGAACGAGUCGCGUUGACCACAGAUCCCGACUAACUACGAAGUCUAUGGUCAACUUCUUCUUAUCCUUGACCUAAACUUUUUCUGAAUAGCUACAUACUAGAAUAAUAAUCUUUACAAAACAGUCAUUCAUAC